rnacentral:tRNA from 1 species
AAUAAGAAGCAAAAUUUUGCCUUUAGUUUCGACCUAAAAAUUUGAUGACACCAUCCUUAUUU